rnacentral:rRNA from 1 species
UAAGGAAUAUUGGUCAAUGGACGCAAGUCUGAACCAGCCAUGCCGCGUGGAGGAUGAAGGUCCUCUGGAUUGUAAACUUCUUUUAUCUGGGAAGAAAUCCAUUUUUUCUAGAAUGGUUGACGGUACCAGAUGAAUAAGCACCGGCUAACUCCGUGCCAGCAGCCGCGGUAAUACGGAGGGUGCAAGCGUUAUCCGGAUUCACUGGGUUUAAAGGGUGCGUAGGUGGGCAAGUAAGUCAGUGGUGAAAUCUCCGGGCUUAACCCGGAAACUGCCAUUGAUACUAUUUGUCUUGAAUACUGUGGAGGUCAGCGGAAUAUGUCAUGUAGCGGUGAAAUGCUUAGAUAUGACAUAGAACACCAAUUGCGAAGGCAGCUGGCUACACAAAUAUUGACACUGAGGCACGAAAGCGUGGGGAUCAAACAGGAUUAGAUACCCUGGUAGUCCACGCCCUAAACUAUGGAUACUCGACAUUUGCGAU